ensembl:lncRNA
AGGCACUCUCAUCAUCUGCAAUUUGGCAAAAACCUCAGCUAUCCAUCAUCCGUCGUGCCGUACUUUUCUCUCUUCAUCGAUCAGCAGUCAUCACAUUCACUUCCGGUCAUUGGCUCGGAUUCUCUUCAUUCUCUAAUAUUCAUUUGUUAGAUAUCUCGAGCCAACGUUUUCAAACAGGAAGUGUAUUUCCCAGAGAUUCAUUCAUCCGAGUGUGUUCUCAUCUGACUAAAGAACCACACCGAGGACGAGAACACACCACACGUUCUGUUCAAUUGUAGAUCAGUGGUUUUCAAAGUGGGGGCCGCCAGGGGGCGCCCAGGGUGCCUCAACAAUUUGGUGUGAAAAAUAAAUUCUCACUCUCAGACAACCACACACACACAAUCAAUUUCUAAUGUAAUGUAAUGUAAAGAUGUAAGAUGUAAUUAUUAAUUUUUAAAAAAAGAGGAUAUAUUCAGAAGUCUGUAUUUUUAAUGUGUUUUAAAGACAUCUUGCAAAAGGGGGGCCUCGGUCAAAUGUUACUGCCAUUUGGGGGGCCUUGUCCUGGAAAAGUUUGGGAACCUCUGCUGUAGAUCAUGUGUUGUUCAUUCAUAAUGUUUUUGUCAUUUUUUCACAAAAAUCAAACUUGAUCUGCGAUUGUGCGCGCAACACUGAAAAGUCACAUGACCAAAGUUAGCAACCACGAUUGAUCAGCUUAAGCUCCGCCCAUGUCGUAUUGACUGACGACCUGUUUGUAAAUCAGUAAAAAUCAGGAUGUUCUCAUGGCAUGUUCUGACACAGAGAUAAGCGUGUGUGUGAAUUUAAGUAGCGUAGCAUAUCAUAGCAUAGCGUAGCAUAGCAUCUCGCCUACCAGAGUGUCCAGGAUGGACAGAUGGACAUCCAGCAUGAACAUUCUGACAGGCUGAGCUAGGGCUCUCUGCAGGCUGUACACCGGCUUCAUCUCCGUUCCUCCAAUCAGUUCUUCAUCCUUCAGGCCUGCUGUGAUUUAUCCUCCUACUGUUUAUUGCUCUUCUCUUCUCUCUUUCUCUCACCGUCUUCCCUUCUUAUGCAUUAAGUUAUAAAUAAAACGAAAAACAAACAAGACUACAAGGCUUUGCUUCCUUCUCUCUCUUCUCUCACCUUGCUACUACUGUAACAGGUGGCAAGCUGAGGCUUGUCUAAUGCACUGUAAUGCGCUCUCUCUCACACACACAUACACACACACCCUCUAUGAAUAAAAGGUUUCCAGGAAUGCGGAGAUGUGGAAAGAAGCAGGUAUUCAUAACACACACACACACACACACACACACACACACACACAAACAAAGUGUGUGAGAGUACUUCUAGACACAAUUCAAUAAAAUAAAUAAAGAAAAGAAAACAAUUUUGUACCAUUUUAUGAGCUUGUACUUGAUUUUGUGGGGUCUAACUGUGUGUGUGUGUGUGUGUGUGUGUGUGUGUGUGUGUGUGUGUGUGUUUCCAGUUGUUCCAAACCCUGAUGUAAACACAGGACAGAAAUAGAGGUCAGAUGCCUGUUUACAGUCCAAGGAUUUAGCAUUUAGCCUUUAAAGCAUACCCUUAAGAAUUUAGCUAGAUAUUUUCUUUACACGAAAACAUCAUAAAGUCAUUCUCACAAAUAAAAUGACGUGAAUCCUAUAAACAUGUCCACUUUAAACAACAUUCCAGCAAAGGAUUAAGAAAACUAAAGCCAGCUCGCUUCCAACAGAUUCUGAGAUAAGAAACAAAUGAACAAAGUUUUGCUAUUGUUCACCUGUUGGCUAUUUUUGCUAACAGCAACACUUCAGUGUUACAUUACACCUGAAUUCCACUCAAACAAACAAAGAAAAACACCGAUUUGAUUAUCCAAAGACAAUCAGAUCGACCUUGUGCUAAGAUCUUAGCCACCAUUUUCUACCACUCAUGCUAACUGGUGGUUAGCAGAGGGUUACUAGCUUCCAGACUAGCUGCUAGUUUGCAGGCUCGGGUGUAAUCCUCUGCCCUUCUAUUAUACAAGAACCACAAAAGCAAGUGCAUAUAGUGUAAAUUACAAAACAAAGCCAGUGAGAUAUGCUAAACGAUAAAUGACAGAUUCUGAACAGGAUUAUAAGAAAAAUUGUAGAUAUUCCUAGCAAGAGCAAGUUUUCUGAGGAAGUGAGGAAGAGUGAGAAAGAGUGAAGGACGGUUUAAGGUCAUCGUGAUUGAGAAAAGGGAAAUCCUUUUCCUCAGAUGACGCAGAUCGUAGAUCCUAAUGCUAACGACCAUGUCCCUGAACACACACCUUCCUGCCAAAACAGGAAGUGAACUUUCACCUGCCUAGAAAAUUUCUGUGCAUAAUACAAAUCACUCUCCUUAAAGCUAAUUAAUGUUUGCUAGCAUGCUUGCUAAACGUAACCACAGAAACAACUUCUGAAUAAAUUUGGUAGAUUUAUUCCACAGUAUUCGUGACGCUUUUGUCUGCCACGUUUUUUUUGUUUGUUUGUUUGUUUUUGUAUUAUGGGAUAGCAUUCGCAGAAGAAGUGUUAAAAACGAUUAACUGAAACCUUCACUGUUAACAUUCUAGUAUUUUAGCAGUUUUAUAUCAAAAGACAGACACACAUCCAGUCAGAAUAGUAUGUGUGUGUGUGUGUGUGUGUGUGUGUGUGUGUAAAAUGUUGGACAGAUAGAUGAUAGUAAUGUCGGCAGAAUAAAAGGAAAACAGCAUGUGUGUAUAUGGUUGCUGUAAUAAAUAACUACACACCCACACACACCCACACACACGCACACAGAGAUCAAAGUUCAAGGCUAUGAGUUAAAUUAGUUUAGACCAGGAUGCACUGCAGGAGGCCUACCAGGAGACAGAUGGAGCAUCAAGUGCAGUGAACAGCAACAUAUGAGCUCGAUUUGCUCAAUUACACCUCGUUACACACACACAUACACACACACAUCUCAGACAGUAAAUCAUCUCCAUCUGUCCAUGACAUCAUCAUGAGUUCAAAACAAAAAGACAGAUAUGAAUCACACAAAGAGCAGAGUGAAGAAGAGGGUGUGGCCUGUGUGUCUGGCAGUCACAGUGAAGGAGGCGUGGCCUGUGUGUCUGGCAAUGAAAUGCUAAUUAAUCUGAUGAGUGAGAACAGCAAUAUGACACACACACAUCCUGACUGAUAGAUCCAAUAUGCCUUUGAGUGUGUGUUUAUGUGUGUGUGUGUGUGUGUGUGUGUGUGUGUGUGUGUGUGCGCAAACAAAUUGACUCAGACAUAAUCAGAAACUCAGGGCAAGAUCGUAUUAAGACCGUUAAUUAAUGACCCAAAACUUCACACUCCAACAAGAAGAGACAAGCUAAUGUGUGUGUUUGUUUGUGUGUUUGCUUGUGUGUGUGUGUGUGUUCGUGUGUGUGUGUGUGUAUGUGUGUCUUUCAUGUGAAAAGAUAGAAACACCCUUCAGUGUAAAUGUCUGUCUAUAUUGGAUCUCUGGCAGCUCAAUAAUAUUACACAAAUAGAUAGAGAACAGACACGCACACACGCACAAACACACACACACACACACACACACACACACACACACACACACACACUGCAUGAAUGGCUUUUGUGUCCUGACAACAAAGACAUUGGCUGAGACAGAAAAAAACGAUCAUUUCUUUCUCUGAAAGACUGAAAUCACAAUGAUGGACAUUCUGGCUCACACACACACACACACACACACACACACACACACACACACAAAGUUAGAAUAAUCAAAGGAAUAAAGAAAAACAAAACAAAAAGAGAACCAUGUGACUCUCAGACAACACCUGGGAGAGUAAGGUGGUUUUGUGGUCUGGCGUGUUGAAUGAAUUAUUGAGUUGCUGUGAGGUGUUUAGACCACCUUAAACACACAUACAACACACAUCUAAUCUACACAUCUGAAACAAAACCACUAACACUGCUGCUAGAGGGAAAAUCCAGCUGUUUGCAUCUGUGUGUGUGUGUGUGUGUGUGUGUGUGUGUGUGUGUUUGUGUGAGGAAAACAGCUCAUCCUCACAGCUGCUGUCUCAAUUUUGCACAACAGUGUGUUCCUGAAACUCUUUGCACAGUUCUGCUCUCUCUCUCUCACACACACACACACACACACACACACACACACACACACACACACACAAAUAUUAACGCAAACACUGACUCAAUAAAAUACACUAAUCAUAACACUCAUACAAUUACAUACACACAAAUACAAUGCUAAAAACUGUAAUACACAUACACAUCAGUACACAGUAACACAAUAAUACACACUGUGAUAUAUACUGUAUCAUACAUACACACACACACACACAUACACAGAGAGUACCCUGUGAAUAGUGUUAUUGAGCUGUAUAGCGCAGGAAUGGUGCACACCCUGGUGGUCAGUGGUGGUAGUAACACACACAGUAAGUGUUUAACACACUGAGUGUUCAGGUUUUUCUGUCUGUCCAGGACAGUGAUUAAACAUUUUACACAACAUUUAUUAAACAAUUAAUUCAGUAAUAAUAAUAAAAAACAAUCCUUAGGGAAAAAAAGCACCAAAGUGUCCCAUGCUUAAAGUGUCCCAUCACCAAUCUGCCCCGACCCCUAUCUGCCCUACCCCCAAACUGCCCCACGCCAAAUCUGCCCCAUAGUCAACAUGUCCUGAUCGCAGAUGAAUUGGAAAAAUGUGAUGGAUGUCACUAACCUCAUCUACCUGCUGCACAUUCAGCUUUCACACAUUUCUACAAUUUAUAUUCAGCUUCAUUCCAUAUUGUGUAAACAUUUACUGAAUGUUUAAACAUUUCAACCUAACAGAAAAGAAGAGGACAAAGAAAGAAAGAAAGAAAGAAAGAAAAACUACCGUUCUGGUCUCUCUGCCUCAGAGAUUAGGAGAUUUGGUACUGUACUCAGUCUCCAUAGUAACUGCGAUGUGUUUGGGGUGCGCACACACACACACACACACACACACACUCCUGAACAGCUGGAGGCAAACCGGUACCUCAGGAGGCUCCAUUGCCAGAGUUUUUGUCUGAAUUGUGGCUGUUUUUAUUUUUCAUAUGAACAGAGACGUAAAGUUCUCAAUCCUGCACUCAUCUUCAUGUAGAAAUGUGUGUGAUUAUAACAGCUUUAUUAUUAUUAUCUUUCUAACAAGAUAAAUAAAUAUUGUGUCAAUAUAUAAAUGUAUAAUAUAAACGUAAAUAUUAUGUAAAUAGAUGAAAAUGUGUUUAUGUGUUCAUUCACUCCUCUGUUCAUGAUCUGUGUUAUCCAGGUCGGAGUCAGAGUCGGAGUCAGAGUCAGAGCAGAGUCAGAGUGGAGACAGAGUCGGAGUGGAAUCAGAGUGGACUCAGAGUCAGAGGGGAGACAGAGUCGGAGUGGAGUCAGAUUGGAGUCAGAGUGGAGUUGGAGUCAGAGUGGAGUCAGAGUCAGAGUGGAGUCAGAGUCAGAGUGAAGACAGAGUCAGAGUCGGAGUGGAGUCAGAGUCGGAGUGGAGUCAGAGUCAGAGUGGAGUCGGAGUGGAGUCGGAGUCAGAGUGGAGACAGAGUCAGAACGGAGACAGAGUCAGAGUGGAGUCAGAGUGGAGUCAGAGUCGGAGUGGAGUCAGAGACAGAGUGGAGACAGAGUCAGAGUGGAGACAGAGUCAGAGUGGAGUCAGAGUCGGAGUGGAGUCGGAGUCAGAGUGGAAUCAGAGUCAGAGUCAGAGUGGAGACAGAGUCAGAGUGGAAUCAGAGUCAGAGUGGAGACAGAGUGGAGUCAGAGUCGGAACGGAGUCAGAGUCAGAGUGGAGACAGAGUGGAGUCAGAGUCAGAGUGGAGUCAGAGUAUUAGUGGAGUUGGAGUCAGAGUGGAAUCAGAGUCGGAGACGGAGUCGGAGUGGAGUUCGAGUCAGAUUGGAAUCAGAGUCAGAGUCAGAGUGGAGUCAGACUCAGAGUGGAGUUGGAGUCAGAGUGGAAUCAGAGUCAGAGUCAGAGUGGAGACAGAGUCAGAGUGGAGUCAGAGUCAAAGUGGAGACAGAGUCGGAGUGGAGCCAGAGUGGAGUCAGAGUCAGAAUGAAGACAGAGACAGAGUCAGAGCGGAGUCAGAGUCGGAGUGGAGUUGGAGUGGAGUCAGAGUGGAGUCAGAGUCAGAGUGGAGUCGGAAUGGAGUUGGAGUCAGAGUGGAGUCAGAGUCGGAGUGGAGUCGGAGUCAGAGUGGUGUAAUUAGUAAUUUAUAUUUUGGGAAACAGACCCAAGUAAAUUAGUGAGAAAUAAUGGUCAUGAGAAACAAACAUAAAUAAUAACUGCUGCAACUGAUAAAAAAUCCAGUCCUGUGUGUCUCCAGCUCGAUGUGUUGAUUUUACAUUCUAUACACUAAUAAUAAACACUUUGUCCAGUUACAUAUGCAUGUGUUUUUGUGUAUGUGUAUGUGUAUGUGUGUGAGUCAGUGUUUAAAGACCAUUCUGAAUUAAACAGAAGAGACCGAGUGUGUUCUAGCGGUUUCUCUAGUGAGAAACUGUAUAUUUGUGAUAAGUGGAACAUCCAAGACAACAGCAGCGCGUCGAUAAAAACUUCACAGAGGAGACAGAGCUGAAGACAAACGUCCUCAGAGAGACAGUGUGUGUGUGUGUGUGUGUGUUGGAGAUCAAAGGUGUGGUGCAUCAUCCAGUUCAUAACGACUCAUCACACACUCGUCAGUGGCGUUAAAGUCAAUAACGAUAAUAAAUCUCAUUUUACACUUUACUCUGUGCUGUUUUCACAACCCACCAUGCUUUGCUUUCCUGAGCAGUAAAGAAGUGGCUGGAGUCAAGCGCCCCCUGGAGGUGUGUCUAUAACAUGACUGACAGCACGGACCUGUUUUUUUUUCUUUUUCUUUGACCUUUUUUUCUUCUUUCACUUGCUUUGGAUUCUACGUUUUUAACAGAUGUUUCUUUGUCAUCACCGAUAUUUAUUUAUUUGUAGUGGUAAGAACAAUUAAAAAAAAAAAAAUCCUCACUGCACCUUUCAGGUCGGACCAUUAUUCCAAACUAGAGACUUUUCUUUCAUUACUACUGAAUCUACUCGUUCUGGAAGCCAUAAUAAGAAACACGGGCCUGUAAUUCUUUUCUGUACACGCUGCACAGCUAACUCCUGAAACAAGAACACAUUGUUAUGCUAAUGACAGCGUUAGCUGCAGUGAGCUUAACACUAACACACACACAGAGUGUUUGAUCCCGUGUAACGAGCUGAAAUUUGUGUGUGUACCUGUGUAUCCAGCAUCAUCAUCAUCACCACCAUCCACAGCUCAUAUCUCCUUCUUCCUCCUCCUCCUCCUCUUGGUCAGUUCUCACGGUCUCGUAGGGUUUCAAUCCAACCCGUCCUCCAGCAGCACUCGGGAAAGCACGCACGCUCUCUGGAACGCACUCCGGAGUGUAACUAGGGGUCAUCAGAGGUCAUCCACUACAAACACAUCCAGCACAGUGAAUGUCCGAGGGGGAGAAAGUGCAAAAAUCCAGCACUGUUUAUUUCACCACCACCACCACCACCCCACCCCCCCUUUAACCCUGAGGAUGAUUAAACGAGACGAGGAUGAGGAAAACUGAGGAAGCACCGAGCUCCAGCUGCACUGGAUUCUGGAAAAGUGCUAAGUGGUUAAGGUUCUGUGCUAUUAAUCAGAAGGUUGUGUGUUCAAAACCCACCGCCAGAGAGCUCUUGCUGAGGAAGAACCCUCAUUCCUCAGGUGAUCAGUUGUGUGCUUUUUGUAAACGUCAGGAAGUCUCCACUGGUGCUGCACUGCUUAUUAAAGAAACCCUGAACGUCUCCAUUUAAUUCCAGCCAGCUCUGAGUUACCCUUUAAAGGAUGCACACGCUCCCACAGCAGCCCAUUCUCCUCAGCAGUGAUCUCAAUUACGGACCUGCUCUAAAAAAAAUUAUAAUAAUUAAAAACCCCAACAGAAACCUUUAAGGUGUCUCUUUUAAUUCCAGAAACGUUGGAUUCUCCCUUUAAAGGACUUGUACAGUUUUCUCGGUAACGCUGCGUCCGGUUUCAGACGAAAUGCAGAUCAGCGCUCAGGUGUGAUCUUGAUUAUAGACCUCACAUCCCUUUACACUUCCAAAAGUGGAAAAGUCAAAAAGUCAAUACAAAUACAUCCCUUUAACUCCAACCACGUCAGACUGGAAUGAAAAAUGAAUUUCUAAAAAAAGAAGAACGUGUAUUCUGAUAUCUGUCCUAGCUGAGAGUCAGACAUUCAGUGUCAAGAUACAAACUGUGGAUCUUCAAAUCCAAAAAUAUGUAGAUUAAUGACGUUCCUUUAAUGACGAUGUAGCUGUAAUUGGUGUCUACCUUUGACCUUUUCAUCUGAGAGGGUACAGGUGAGAUGCUCAGGAUGCAGGUCCGUGCACACUAGAUGAUGCACACUAGAUGAUGCAUACUAGGCCACUUCAUAAAGUCUGCAACAGUGCACAAUCUUCAAUCCAACAACCGAGAUUACAAUCCCGGGUUAAACCCGAGUGUGUGCGGAUUUAAUCCGAGAUAAAUCCAGGUCAGGACAGACAGGACCGAAUGAUGAGGAUGAAGAAGAUGCAGCAGCUUCAUCAUGCCUGGUUCAUCUUUCCAUUUUUUCUCUCUCCGAAUCAUCAACACACCACAUCCCAAAUAUUCAUCCCAUUUUUAAGGCACGGCGCGCGCGUUUCUCCAUCUUUUUCCUUCCUCCAGAUUGUGCUUGAAUUCCAUCUUCUCUCUCUUUUUUUUUUUUUUUUUUUUUUUUUUUUUUUUUUGCUGCUCUGACAAAAUGGACGGCCUCUCUUGCUUUUUUUUCUUAUCUCUCGAGCUCAGUCCGUUUCCACUCCCUUUUAUUUUUCUCCCGCUCCAUUAUCACAUUCUUCCCAUAUGCAAGAAGACAAGAAAACCCUGCAGGAAUGAUAAAUCAGAGAGAAAACGCGUGCAUUCCGGUGAAAGUCUCUGCUUUUUUUUUUUUUCUUAACGCGGUGAUUGAAAUAAAACGCACCCAGAUCGACGGGAUCGGACUGCACACGCUGUAUGCUGGGUAGAGUGGCUCAAAAUCAGCACGCUCGCUCGCACUUGCAUGAUGAAAUCGGAUUGGAUGUCUGAGAACAGCCUGAAAGAAAUUCGUAAUGAAUUACAAUUUACAUGCUAAUAAAGCACUCUGUAUGCUGGGUAGACUAGGUCAAAAUUUUAAGGCUCGCUUAAUUUACAGACUGAAAUCUGAUCUGAUAUCCAAAAG